GAUGAACGCUGGCGGCGUGCUUAACACAUGCAAGUCGAACGGUGAAGGCGGAGCUUGCUCUGCUGGAUCAGUGGCGAACGGGUGAGUAACACGUGAGCAAUCUGCCCCUGACUCUGGGAUAAGCGCUGGAAACGGCGGCUAAUACUGGAUACGAGCUGCGACGGCAUCUUCAGCAGCUGGAAAGAAUUUCGGUCAGGGAUGAGCUCGCGGCCUAUCAGCUUGUUGGUGAGGUAAUGGCUCACCAAGGCGUCGACGGGUAGCCGGCCUGAGAGGGUGACCGGCCACACUGGGACUGAGACACGGCCCAGACUCCUACGGGAGGCAGCAGUGGGGAAUAUUGCACAAUGGGCGAAAGCCUGAUGCAGCAACGCCGCGUGAGGGACGACGGCCUUCGGGUUGUAAACCUCUUUUGGCAGGGAAGAAGCGAGAGUGACGGUACCUGCAGAAAAAGCGCCGGCUAACUACGUG
rnacentral:rRNA from 1 species